UUGCUCUUUGCAAAUGCUGCAUAUGCAUGCUGAAGGCUGCAUGGCUCUGACAGCCAUUCUGUUUUUAUCAAAGGAUGCUUCUCAAGAUUGUUCAUUUCAUUUUCUGUUUCUUCUGGAUGGAGGUCUGACCUCUCCGGCAUCUAUUGUUGAUGGACAGGUGAGGUGGGCAAGCCACAUCUGAUCAUUUGGAAUUGUAUUUGAGGCCGAAGUUAAACGGAACUUUUUACAUCCUUCCUUAACGGGAAGAACUGAGCAGGAGGCAAAGAAGUUCACGUUGUAAACGGAGACUGUUUCUGCGAAUGGCUUUUCCCCAGAAGACCCUCUCUCUGAAUCUCGGUUGUUGAUAACUCGCAGGUUUUAUCUCCAGGAACUAAGAUAGUUUUUUUCCUCGCUUUUGGCCUGCCAACUUAUAAGACUUGUCUUCAGCUGAGGCAAGGCUGCCAGAUUGAAUCCAUGGAGAACCUACUCAACUCUAUUUAUUUUAGAGUAUGAUAAUUUGAGGGAAAAAUUUAAAUUGUCAGUUUUCCAUUACACCCUGGCUAUCUAACCAGACCUAAAAACUACUUCUGUGGGGAAUUGUGUAAACAGAUGGAGAAGCCAAGAAGAGAACGGGCUGAUGUCUUGCCAGGGGCCAGACAAUCUGCCUAGGACAGAGCCAAACACCCCAGAUCCUGAUUGAUCUGUCCCCGGGUCUUCCUUCUUUAGCUGCCCAUGGCUGUGCAUUUUAAUGAAGGACACUGGGCAAUCCCAAGUCACAGCCCCUCUGACUGCCUGUUGCCUGGGAGCAUGAUUCUUCAGGAUAGCUAUAAAGCCAUGAGGAAUGUCAACAGAAAGGAUGAAGGUGAGACAAAGGACUUUUGUUUCAAGGAUAGUUGCCCUCCAUAAGGAUACUACUUUCAUGCUUGAUUUAUAUAAAGAUUCUCCUUUGAUGAAUGACCCUGGAUGAGAAUCCUUCUACCGGUCAACAUCCAUGAUUCAGAGUAGGUUUGAAGACAGGGUCAAAAGGGCUGGGCACUGUGUGAAAUGAAAACAUCAGUGUGUGCAGGAAGAGUUUUGCAGUGUGCGUGCUCUACUGGAAGCCAAGCUGCAUACUACAAAGAAAAACACCAGGAAAGGAGGUAGAAGCAGUUUCAUAAAAAAGUCUUUGAACAGCAGGAAAGUGCAAUGUUUAUUGUGAAGAACUCCACAGCAUCCAUGGGGAUGCUGUGUUGUUUCUAAAAUCAACAUAAUCUCUAAUUUAUGAAUGAACAGUAAGGUAAAGGCAAGUGUGGAAACUGGACCAGAGAAAGCUUCAUAUGUGCAUUCAAAGGAAAGUGCAGCCCUGGGGAUGACUGCUCUGAAUUGAUAAUUGUGUUGCAUGUUCAUCUGUACAUGGAUUUCUUUCUCAUUCUCCAAAAGGGUGGGCUCGUUGGAGAGGAAGCCAAAUUCUCAGCCUUUGCUUGAGAUUUUAAAAGACAUAUACUUCACUUCAAAAAGAUUGUUUUUUUUUAUAAAAUGCUAGAGCUUCAAAUUUUAACAAUGUUCAUUUUUGUAUGAAAAAAAACCAGAUCCAGGGUAUGGGAAAAUAUUAAAAUUGUGCACAAAAUUAUCCUCACCAGUGUCAUUUAUAUAAUCAUUGUGUUUGUACUUAUGGCUAGUAGCACCAUUUAGUCACUAGAUUGAAGAAAGGGCUGAGGAGAUGACUCAGUGGUUGUGAGGAUUGUGGUUUUACAGAGGACCAGGCUCAGUUCCUAGUACCUGUAUGGUGCCUAACAGCUGCCUGUAGCUCUAAUUCCAGGGGCUCUGAUACCCCUUUCUGACCUCUGUGGAUAGCAGGCACACGCAAGAUAUACAAACACACCUGUAGACACACGAAUGUAUGUAUGUAGGCAACAUAUACACACAUAAAAUAAAACAAAUAAAUCUAAGAUAAUUUUAGAAGCACAGGUGACUGGCUACAGAUAGCUUUCUUUAGCACAGAUGAAAAGUGAGAAACAAAAUACUCUCAGAAGACAUGUAUUUAAGUGAGUAAGUUAGACUGUGACAGCCACAUAACACUCAUUAGAGCAUCAUUUAAUAAACAUCUGUGGAAUGGUUGUUUUUAUGGGGUAACAGGUGCCAGAACGACCUCUUACCAGCUAUAUUCUUGAUCAGUUCUGGAAGGGAAGGGAGCAGAGAGCAGCCCUGGGUAACUUUCCCCUCUCGCCUUCACCUUUUCCUUGUAUUCUGUCAGUCUGGACUUCGAGUUACUUGUUUACUUGAAUUCUUCACAGUGAACAUUGACACAAAGUGUAUUUUCCUGACUCCACCAGUGUCUUUCCUCAUUCAACACUGGGAGAAGUAGAUGUUAAUAUUCUUGAGUGACUCCAUCAGCCAUACCUCACAUUACAAUAAUGUUUGUAUGUUUUGUUCCCUCACCUUGGAUACCUGCCUUAGUUAGGAUUUUUAUUGCUGGGCUAAAAUGCUGUGACCACAAGCAACCUGAAGAGCAUAAGGGUUAUUUCUUCCUACACUUCCUACACUUCUAGAAAAUGGCCCAUCACUGAGGGAAAUCAGAACAGGAGCCUGGAGGUAAAAACCAAAGCAGAAACGAUGGAGAAACACUGCUUACAAAUCUGCUUCUCCUGAAUUGCUUAUUUUGUUUUUCUUAUAUGUCCUGGAACCACCUGCCUGUAGGUGGUACUGAGCACCAUGGUCUUGACCCUCCUACAUUAAUCAUUAAUUAAGAAAAUGCCCCCAUUGGCUUACCUAGAAGCUAAUCUUACAGAGGUGUUGUCUCAAUUGGGACUACCUUCUCUCAGAUGAUUCUAAAAUAAUACCCUGUUACCCACUAUAUAAUUAUAUCUUCAUAUCUUUUGAAAAUCAGCUCAGAAGCACAUCUAUCCUGCAGCUGUAUGUAUAUAAUACUAACACCCAUGGAUCACAGAUGUUUUCAUAGUGGUUCUGUUUUCAUGUUGUUCGCGUCUCAUUGUAAACACUGGGGGACAAGUUCUAGGCCUUGUUCAUUUGCACGCCAGCAUUUAGCUCUAUGUCCAUACAUUUGAUUACAAGAAGAGAAUAUUGCAGGGAGAGUAAAUGGACAGCCUGGAAAAUGCAACUGACACAACUUCUAUAGAGUCCUUCAACGCCGUUGACUUUGGGAAAUAUAUUUCUAUUCAAAAGGACCAGAUAUGGCUUGUUAGACAUUUCUAAAGUGAAUUUGGAAGAGUUUCCUUCAAAAUAAAAACAUUUACUCAAAUCCAGCACUACCUCAGUUGUCACUGAGAGGAAUUGUGAGCUGGCCUGGAAGAGCCAAGGUCUGAACCAUUGGCGUUAUUUGAUAAUUUUUUUAAAAAAAAAAAAACUCUAAAUCAAUGACGACAAAUAAAUACAUCAACUGUUUUCUUAUUUUUUACUUCAUUGAGUGUUCUAAGGAUGGAGUCAUUAAAGUAUAAAAGAUUGGUACUCCAAAGUAUAAUCUGCAGAGAAUUGAAACAAUUUACAGAAUAUCUCUCCUGUGCCAGGGAGAUGGAAGCAGGAGGUAGGGUGGGUGAGAGCAGCCCCAGCAGAGGACAGAGGACCCUCUUCACUUUCAGCACCUAGUAUAGGGCUUGAUACUUGGGAGAUGCUCAGUAUAGUUUGGUUGAAUAAUUGAAUGACUGAGUGAGUGAGCCAGCCAGGCAGACAGAAGGAGAGAGAUAUAGAGAUGCUAUAUUUGGGUGAGUUUCAAGAGAAGAUCACAGAAUGAAAAGUGGUUUUGUCUGAUCACAAAUAAAAGGCAGAGAAGUGUAUGAAGUAGUAGCAGAAGAACAGAACAAUCCGAGACUUUUGUUUAAAGCUUUGUGUGCAUGUCAUUUGCUGUAAAAUCACCAAUUUUAAGUGUGCAUUUUGAUGGAAUUGCAUUCAGUUUAAAACUUUUCAAUAAA